CCCUUAGAUGUUCUGGGCCGCACGCGCGCUACACUGACGAAUGCAACGAGCUUAUAACCUUGGCCGAAAGGUCUGGGUAAUCUCCAAAUUUCGUCGUGAUGGGGAUAGAUUAUUGCAAUUAUUAAUCUUCAACGAGGAAUGCCUAGUAAGCGCAAGUCAUCAGCUUGCGUUGAUUACGUCCCUGCCCUUUGUACACACCGCCCGUCGCUACUACCGAUUGAAUGGUUUAGUGAGAACUCGGGACUGGCACUAAGGGGCUGGCAACAGCCUAUUAGAGCCGGGAACUUGCUCAAACUUGAUCAUUUAGAGGAAGUAAAAGUCGUANCA
rnacentral:rRNA from 1 species